GGCAGAAUGGCCGAGUGGUCUAAGGCGCUAGAAUCAGGAUGUCAUGGCAACCUAUCUAGUCCGAAAGGGCGUGGGUUCGAACCCCACUUCUGUCA
rnacentral:tRNA from 1 species